GACAGAGGAUGCAAGCGUUAUCCGGAAUGAUUGGGCGUAAAGCGUCUGUAGGUGGCUCUUUAAGUCUGCCGUCAAAUCCCAGGGCUUAACCCUGGACAGGCGGUGGAAACUACCAAGCUGGAGUACGGUAGGGGCAGGGGGAAUUUCCGGUGGAGCGGUGAAAUGCGUAGAGAUCGGAAAGAACACCAACGGCGAAAGCACUCUGCUGGGCCGACACUGACACUGAGAGACGAAAGCUAGGGGAGCGAAUGGG
rnacentral:rRNA from 1 species